UGUCAUGUUGUAUUGUAGUAACCCUCAACUGUAUUUAAUGGUGUUAUGUAGUUGUGUUGUCAUGUUGUGAAUGCUGUAUUUUAGUAUGCCUAACCCUCAACAUAUUCUGGUGAUAGAGAGAGACACAGACAAUACACAGAGACAGCAACAGAAGUAUAGGAUAUGAUGGAGAGAGACACCAGACAAGACACAGAGACAGCAACAGAAGAAUAGGAUAUGAUGGAGAGAGACACCAGACAAGACACAGAGACAGCAACAGAAGAGUAGGAUAUGACGGAGAGAGACACCAGACAAGACACAGAGACAGUAACAGAAGAAUACGAUAUGACGGAGAGAGACACCAAACAAGACACAGAGACAGCAACAGAAGAAUACGAUAUGAUGGAGAGAGACACCAGACAAGACACAGAGACAGCAACAGAAUAGAAUAUGAUGGAGACACCAGACAAGACACAGAGACAGCAACAGAGGACACAGAGAAAGUGAUGGAGAGAGACAGAAGAAUAGAGUUCCAGACAGUUGUAGAAUGUAUGCCAAGACGCAUUGUAAGAGCUGUUAAGAGAGAGGGAGGGAGAGAGAACAGGCAGAACCUGAUAUGUAAAUGAGCAGAGCAAACGAAAGUAACUUUUGACGACCCGAUGAUCAUCCAGACUGUGUUUCUAUUGAGAGAUAAAAGGCUGGUUGAAUGAGUUGCCUAUGAAAGCUACUUCAUCUGUAAGAAAACAGGCGUCUGCACCAGUGACUGGGUCAGUGCUCUAAAAUGAGUGUCUCUGGGGAGAGAGAGGAGGGGGGCCCUGCCUCUAAAAUGAGUUUCUCUGGGGAGAGAAAGGAGGGGGGCCCUGCCUCUAAAAUGAGUCUCUCUGGGGAGAGAGAGGAGGGCGGCCCUGCCUCUAA